GUUUGACAUACAAGUUGUGGAAGUUGUUCGUAUUUUCCAGCUGACCAGCCUUGGGACCUUGUAACCUCUGAAUGAUCUCUGCUUUCAUUUCCAUGGCAAUGUGAGCAGGCAGUAAAGAAAGAAGGAGACGCUCCUGUUGCCGCUUCUCAAAUUCUAACUUGAUCCGCGAUUUGAUGCAGUUGCACGUGUCCUGGUAUGUCUGCUGCAGUGCCAGCUC
rnacentral:lncRNA from 1 species